AGUAGUGCUUUUGACAUGGGAAGACAAAAACACGACGCCGCUCAAGUAGUUAAAGUUAAAGGGAAUACGGUUGCUAGGCAACCGAGAAACAUGGACGCUGUGCAUAGCUAGCUGGUGAUCAUGACUAGCUAAUCCUUUUAUUUGGGAUGGCUGCUGGAUCAAUGUGGAAUAUUAUAUGGAUAGCAAUGUCAUAAAUGUUAUCUCCCUUCAUCUUGAUAGCAAAGAGUAUUGUGGACAUCCCAUUAACAGGUGUACGCUCAUUAGACAUUAUUUCACCAUCCAACUCUUGUCCAAAAAGCUUGCAUGCAUCAGUGUGUGUGACCUGUAGGCACAGAACGGGUGACACUGAGGGACGGGCUGGAGACCCUUUCAACGUUAUCAGCACAACCCAGGCUCUAGUGCUGUAAGGAAAAUGUGGAAUAUUCCACAAGUCAGCAGGAAGUUGCGUCAUCUGAAUUUCCUGAGGAUUGUGGUAAGAAGAAAAUGCAGUGCCCUGAUAUGGCCUGGUGUCCCAUUGAGGGUGAAUUCCUGCCUCAUGUCCAGCGCUCCAGAGUCACCAUGACCCUGACCAGGAUAAAGCAGUUUCUAAAGAUGAAUGAAUGAAUAUGCAUGCAACUUAAAAGCACUACAGUAAUGCAAAUAAGAAAAGUGUCAUUAAGUCAGUUAAUAUAAUUCAAUUACGGAAAUAUACAAUAUAUUGUUUAUUGGUUAGUGUUUUUUUUUUUUUCUUUCAACAUUGUAAAACUACCUCAAGCUAAAUUAAAUUAAAACAAAAUUAAAACUA